UACAGGGGGAGCAAGCGUUAUCCGGAAUGAUUGGGCGUAAAGCGUCCGCAGGUGGCAGUUCAAGUCUGCUGUCAAAGACCGGGGCUUAACUUCGGAAAGGCAGUGGAAACUGAACAGCUAGAGUAUGGUAGGGGCAGAGGGAAUUCCUGGUGUAGCGGUGAAAUGCGUAGAUAUCAGGAAGAACAUCGGUGGCGAAGGCGCUCUGCUGGACCAUAACUGACACUCAGGGACGAAAGCUAGGGGAGCGAAUGGG
rnacentral:rRNA from 1 species